UACGAAGGGGGCUAGCGUUGCUCGGAAUCACUGGGCGUAAAGGGUGCGUAGGCGGGUCUUAAGUCAGGGGUGAAAUCCUGGAGCUCAACUCCAGAACUGCCUUUGAUACUGAGGAUCUUGAGUUCGGGAGAGGUGAGUGGAACUGCGAGUGUAGAGGUGAAAUUCGUAGAUAUUCGCAAGAACACCAGUGGCGAAGGCGGCUCACUGGCCCGAUACUGACGCUGAGGCACGAAGGCGUGGGGAGCAAACAGG
rnacentral:rRNA from 1 species